rnacentral:rRNA from 1 species
UACGUAGGUGACCAGCGUUGUCCGGAUUUACUGGGCGUAAAGAGCGCGCAGGCGGUCGUUCAAGUCGAGUGUGAAAGCCCCCGGCUCAACUGGGGAGGGUCACUUGAUACUGAUCGACUGGAAGGCAGGAGAGGGAAGCGGAAUUCCCGGUGUAGUGGUGAAAUGCGUAGAUAUCGGGAGGAACACCAGUGGCGAAGGCGGCUUCCUGGCCUGUUCUUGACGCUGAGGCGGCGAAAAGCUAGGGGAGCCAAACGGG